rnacentral:tRNA from 1 species
GCGGGUGUAGUUCAAUGGUAGAAUGGAAGCUUCCCAAGCUUCAGACGUGGGUUCGAUUCCCAUCACCCGCUCCA